GACGAACGCUGGCGGCGUGCCUAAUACAUGCAAGUUGAGCGAUGAAGAUUGGUGCUUGCACCAAUUUGAAGAGCAGCGAACGGGUGAGUAACGCGUGGGGAAUCUGCCUUUGAGCGGGGGACAACAUUUGGAAACGAAUGCUAAUACCGCAUAACAACUUUAAACAUAAGUUUUAAGUUUGAAAGAUGCAAUUGCAUCACUCAAAGAUGAUCCCGCGUUGUAUUAGCUAGUUGGUGAGGUAAAGGCUCACCAAGGCGAUGAUACAUAGCCGACCUGAGAGGGGGAUCGGCCACAUUGGGACUGAGACACGGCCCAAACUCCUACGGGAGGCAGCAGUAGGGAAUCUUCGGCAAUGGACGAAGGUCUGACCGAGCAACGCCGCGUGAGUGAAGAAGGUUUUCGGAUCGUAAAACUCUGUUGGUAGAGAAGAACGUUGGUGAGAGUGGAAAGCUCAUCAAGUGACGGUAACUACCCAGAAAGGGACGGCUAACUACGUG
rnacentral:rRNA from 1 species